rnacentral:rRNA from 1 species
UUAAAUUGAAGAGUUUGAUCAUGGCUCAGAUUGAACGCUGGCGGCAGGCCUAACACAUGCAAGUCGAGCGGAAACGAGUUUUC